UACGGAGGGUGCGAGCGUUGUCCGGAAUCACUGGGCGUAAAGGGCGCGUAGGUGGCGCGGGCAGUCAACGGUGAAAGUUCGGGGCUCAACCCUGAAUCGGCCGGUCGAUACUCCCGGGCUGGAGCACUGUAGAGGCUAAUGGAAUUCCGGGUGUAGCGGUGGAAUGCGUAGAGAUCGGGAAGAACAUCGGUGGCGAAGGCGGUCUGCUGGGCCGUUGCUGACGCUGAGGCGCGACAGCGUGGGGAGCAAACAGG
rnacentral:rRNA from 1 species